rnacentral:rRNA from 1 species
AGUGGGGAAUCUUGGACAAUGGGCGCAAGCCUGAUCCAGCCAUGCCGCGUGAGUGAUGAAGGCCCUAGGGUCGUAAAGCUCUUUCGCCAGGGAUGAUAAUGACAGUACCUGGUAAAGAAACCCCGGCUAACUCCGUGCCAGCAGCCGCGGUAAUACGGAGGGGGUUAGCGUUGUUCGGAAUUACUGGGCGUAAAGCGCGCGUAGGCGGAUUGGAAAGUUAGGGGUGAAAUCCCGGGGCUCAACCCCGGAACUGCCUCUAAAACUCCCAGUCUAGAGUUCGAGAGAGGUGAGUGGAAUUCCGAGUGUAGAGGUGAAAUUCGUAGAUAUUCGGAGGAACACCAGUGGCGAAGGCGGCUCACUGGCUCGAUACUGACGCUGAGGUGCGAAAGCGUGGGGAGCAAA